CAAAAAAAAGCAUUAUAUGAUGCAAUUCGCUUACAUUGAAUAGAUGGCCUGUUGUGGCCUUUUUUGA
rnacentral:tRNA from 1 species